GACGAACGCUGGCGGCGUGCUUAACACAUGCAAGUCGAACGGAAAGGCCCUGCUUUUGUGGGGUGCUCGAGUGGCGAACGGGUGAGUAACACGUGAGUAACCUGCCCUUGACUUUGGGAUAACUUCAGGAAACUGGGGCUAAUACCGGAUAGGAGCUCCUGCUGCAUGGUGGGGGUUGGAAAGUUUCGGCGGGUGGGGCUGGACUCGCGGCUUAUCAGCUUGUUGGUGGGGUAGUGGCUUACCAAGGCUUUGACGGGUAGCCGGCCUGAGAGGGUGACCGGCCACAUUGGGACUGAGAUACGGCCCAGACUCCUACGGGAGGCAGCAGUGGGGAAUAUUGCACAAUGGGCGGAAGCCUGAUGCAGCAACGCCGCGUGCGGGAUGACGGCCUUCGGGUUGUAAACCGCUUUCGCCUGUGACGAAGCGUGAGUGACGGUAAUGGGUAAAGAAGCACCGGCUAACUACGUG
rnacentral:rRNA from 1 species